ACUAAUUCCCAGAGGCAAAGAGAAAGACAGGAGGCAGGGGAGCGAAUGAGGAGAGAUCUACUCAGCAAGUCUGCUUCUCUCAUGUCUGUCGAGAAUAUGCCACCGAGAUCACGRGUAAUUCAACCAAGAAAAUUCCUUAUCUGUAAAAGAGCUGUGACUUUCAGACGGUGACAGAGGGAAGGAUGUGACUUCUAAAUGCCUUCAUGCUGACUAUUGAUAAGGUCACACAGUUUGAUCAUCUCAGCCUGCACAACCUGGAGCCAGAUGUGAGCGGGUCRUGUUCUUUUGCCCAAGCUGACGUCUGACCCGGAGAUUUGGACGGAGAAUAUUCAUGGCUGCGUCCUUGCGGAAAAUUCCAGGGAGGAUAUAUUUCAUGACCGUCAUACGACCCUUCCUGUGCAGCACACAUGGGCAAACUGCCAYACCAUACUGUAAAAAUGCUACCAGAUGGCCUCCGUAUCCUUUUACUGUCCGACGCUGUGGUUCUGGGUUAACUGGGUGACGCCCACUCCGAAUAUUUUCUUUUUUCUUGCAGCCAAAGCUGUUUAGACUCUCUAAACAGAGGAGCCUGUCUCACAAUCUGCUACACAAUGAUAAAAGCAGAUCUGUGUUUGCUGCUGAAAAUAGGUCCUCAACAAAGCAGCAGUGAAGAUUGUCUGAUAAUCAGAUUAGAGAGUAGCUUUCUGCACUUACACAAGUAUUUUCUUUUUUAUUAUAUAAAAAAUAAAUAAACCCUUUCUUCCCUGUC